GCACCUGUGUCCUCUCUCCCUCCAGCACCUGUGUCCACUCCUCCUCCACCACCUGCAAAACGCAAUUCAAAACGUAAAAUUAAAGCUCCUGUGUCCUCUCUCCCUCCACCACCUGUGUCCACUCCUCCUCCACCACCUGCAAAACGCAAUUCAAAACGUAAAAUUAAAGAAUGCAGAAAACAUGCCAAACAGACCAUAUACAAUUAUUCCCACAUUGUGGAUAAGCGUGUUGUUGGUGGAAAAGAAGAAGUCAGGGUGAAAUGGACAUCUUGCACAAAAUGUGGGAAAGAAUGGCCUGACUCGUGGGAGCCAGCAGAACAAUACAAAUGAUCUAUUAAUUAAAUAUUUUAUUUUUUUGUGUUUCAUCUUCUCAAAAAUUAAUAAAAAA